CGCAAAUAUCUCAUGUUUUUGUUUUGAGCUGUUUUCUGCCAGAGUUUUCAAGGCCAGGCAUCAUGUCGUCCCCCUCCUCCAACAACGCGGACGACGAUGCUUGGUUGAUGCUGAUGGAACUCCGGAGGGAGGAUGCCGAGGGAGCCAUGAUGGAGGAGGAUGAAGGGGAUUCGCUUGAGGAACAACCUCCGGCAACGGAGAGGGGUACUCUGGCGGGCAUCUCCGCUAUUCCAUGUCCCCAUCAAGCCAUAGGAACCACAAACAACCAUGAAGACCAAGAGGUUCGAGAAGGGCUUCCCUCUAGGAGGCCCUUACACAGGUUACAUCGGAACAACUUUCAUAAUUUGGUUCAUGAUAACCCACAAGUAUAGGGGAUCGCAACAGUUUUCGAGGGUAGAGUAUUCAACCCAAAUUUAUAGAUUCGACACAAGGGGAGCCAAAGAAUAUUUAUAGGUAUUAGCAGCUGAAUUGUCAAGUCAACCACACCUGGAGAUUAAUUAUCUGCAGCAAAGUGAUCAGUAACAAAAAAGUAUGAUAGUUUUGAUAAUAGUAGCAGCAGUAACGGUGGUAACGGUAACAGUGAUAGCAGUAAUUUUGUAGCAAGUGUAACAGUGAUGAUAGCAGUAGUAACUUAGCAAAAACAAUAUAAGAUAAAUUCGUAGGCAUUGGAUCAGUGACUUGUUGGAUGAUAUUCAUCAUGAGACAGUUAUAACCUAGGGCGAUAUGGCACUAGCUCCAGUUCGUCAAUAUAACUAGCGGGGCGACCCGCGCAUUCGCGCGGCUAGAUUUCUAUUUAAUUUUAAAUUGCUAUUCCCUUCGUUCGGAAUUACUUGUCUCGAAAAUGGACGUAUCUAGAACUAAAAUACGUCUAGAUACAUCCAUUUCCGCGACAAGUAAUUCCGAACGAAGGGAUAUUAGUUAUGACUAAGCUAAAAUAAAUUUGUAUUUCUAGUGUAUAUUUGAUAUGUAUUUCCUUUUUAUUUAUUUGCAAUUAGAUUGCUCUCAUAUUUUAUAUUCAGGUUCUUUUAUGGUCAUGUAAUACACUGAUUUUUUUUUGCUUUUUGAAGGAAAUGUAAUACAUAGCUUUUUUUUUAAAGGAAAUGUAAUACAUAGCUUAAACCCAUAUUGGACCUUUGUUUUUACUGCAAAUUCUACUUGCUUUAUCAUCCUGGGCGUGCUUUUUUUUAAACCGCUGGAUUUAUUUCUCAGCCCAACUUGGCCCAAAUAGUUGUGCUUGUCCCCAAGACCCCAAUUGACAGCCCAACUCCACGUCACUGUGACUCUGUCGGUCACCACUGAAGAACUUCGGCCUGGUCGCUGUCCACCGCAAGCUGGAUAUAUGCUCGCUCUCCUCUGCUCGUCCCAGGCAGCGGCGGCAGCGCAUGGACAGUGGCAGGGUCGGGCGCAGCACCGCCAACCGUACUGUAACCGGAGGCAAGUGGAGCGCGGCAGGAUCAGUCCGGUCAUCCCGACCCGAAUGUAUUUGGCGGAAGAGGAGGCACAGGUUUGGCCACGACGAAGAUGACAUUGGUACAUGGGAGCAUUCUUCAAUUCAGUUCGAACAAAGAAGAAAAUUAAUCUUACACUUGGAGAUAACACAGACGAUGGAGCAUGGCCUAUGUGAACCUAUAGUCAAGCAGUGGCGGAGCCCAUGGCUAGGUUUGUGAUGGAGGAGAGUGUUGAGGCCGGUGACAUCUUCGGCUCCUCGCCAAACGGAUGCUGGAGCAGAGGUGGCCGGGAUAGAGGCGAUCGUGAUGGAGGUGGCACCAUAUGAUUGGGAUGGGAUGGCAAGGUUGCCGCUGUUGUACUCUUAGGGGAUGCCGGCGUGACCUGGAGCCAUUGAAGGAGAUAGCGGGCAUGUGGCCGGCGAGAGGUAGAGAGCACGCCCUGAUCGAGACAUGAGGCCACCAUGGGAGCGGCCGACGCGGUGCCGUGCGUCUUGCGGGCAGGUUAGGGAGUUAUCUUAGAUGAGGUUAGGGAAUUAGGAAGGCGUACGGGAGAAUAAGUACGUCUAGUUUAUCCUGAUAGAAUCUGACUCGUAUGGUUGGUUUUUUUACACAAACUGUAACAUAUACUACCUCCGUUUCAAAAUAGAUGACCCAACUUUAUAUUACUAAUUUUGUACUAUAGUUAGUACAAAGUUGAGUCAUCUAUUUUAUAUGGUUAAAUAACGUGUCGGCUGCAACA